AAAAAGUGUGUAGAAACAUUCGCUUCUACCGAAAAAAAAAAGAGAAAAGAAAUGAAAAACAGAAAUGAAGUAUAAGCACUUGCCUAAGUCAAAGACUCAUGCAUUAAUGUGAUACUCAAAAGAAAAAAAAUUGAGUGAAAAAGAGUCAAGUUGGAAAACACCCCAUAAAAUAAUUUGUGCACAAAGAAAAACAAUAACAUGAAUGCCGAGUUCUAAACCUUUG
rnacentral:lncRNA from 1 species